rnacentral:rRNA from 1 species
UACAGAGGUGGCAAGCGUUGUUCGGAAUUACUGGGCGUAAAGGGCGCGUAGGCGGUCUUGCAAGUCCCGUGUGAAAUCCCUCGGCUCAACUGAGGAACUGCACGGGAAACUGCUUGGCUUGAGUUCGGGAGAGGGAAGCGGAAUUCCGGGUGUAGCGGUGAAAUGCGUAGAUAUCCGGAGGAACACCGGUGGCGAAGGCGGCUUCCUGGACCGACACUGACGCUGAGGCGCGAAAGCGUGGGGAGCAAACAGG